GCAUAUUAUGAAGAGUCCUGGGAUAGUCUGAUCUAAGUAUGAGUCCAGCAGCAGUUCUUAGGUACAAAUGUACAAAGGUGAGAUUAUCCACUGAGAUUACCCUGAGGUUUAGCUCUAAACUGUUUUUUGGUUCUUUUUUUUUGUUUUUGAGUUUUUCUUUCAUCGUUUCCAUUAUUUUAUUGCAACGAUAAGAACCUGUGCAGUAAAGCUCUGCUGAGUGGAGUCAAGGCCCUGAGCAAAGCCGAUCUACAGGAGCAGGCGGAAGUCAACCCUGAGCACUUUCAUCAACACUAUAGCCAGACUUCUGCAUGUCCACAAGCGGUACCCGUUAAACAACAUCAGGAAGAGAAGCCACAAAGGUCAUGCGAAGAGGUGCAGGCGAGCAGGAAGAAGGAGACUGAGCGAGAGCUGAGCGAGUGCGUGUCCGUGCUGGAGAGCAGCCUGCAGAGCGCUCUGUCCGCCAUCCUGGAGGAAGAGAUGAAGGCAGCGUUUGGAGAGCUGUGGCUAGAGUUCGCUCUUGACAAUUCCCACCUACUUGAUAACGUUCUAUCAUGUGAGAGCUACCAACCAGAGAUG
ensembl:lncRNA